rnacentral:rRNA from 1 species
UACCAAAAAUUUUAGUAUUUUAUAAUAAUGCUAUAUAUAAUUUAUUAUAUUUAGGUAUUGACAUUUUGUAUAUGUAUAUUAUUAUUUGUAUUAUUUAAUAAUUAAAUGUAUUAUAUUUAAGUAUUAAAUUUGUUGUUUUAUAUUUAGUUUUAUAUUUUAAUGUUAAUACCAAAUCAAAUAAAUUUAAAAUUUACUGAACUGUAUUUUGUAGUUUAAUAUUUUUUGUUUAAUGUUUAAAUAUUUAACUAUUGAUGGGACAGUUGUUUUAUAUGUACCAAGUAAAUAUAGUAAGAUUAUUUUAUCUAAAUUAAUAAAUAAUUACUUAAGUUAAAUAAAUGAGUAUUAUGAAACAUUUAAAAAUUAAAUUAUUUAACUGAUAAUAAAGUAAAUUUACAAAGAUUAAUUUGAAUAUUAAAAAUACAUAAUUAAUUUGUAAUUAAAUUAUAAUACAUAAUAUUCUCUUUUCAGUAAAAAAAUAUAAGCCAUUAAUACAAAAAAUUUAAUAUUAAGUAUUUGUUUGAUAAAAAGUAACCAUUCCAAAAACUAUAAGUAUUAUUUUUAGAAAUAUAUUUUUAAAAAUAUAAAUAUAUUGUUAAUAAAAUUAUCGUAUUUUAAGUGCGUUUAUUAAAUGCGUUCGUCUAAGAAAAGUAUUUAAGAUUAUUCUUGUAUAUAGAUUUAUCAUUUUUUAAUUCUAAUCAUUAUUAAAUUUCCUCAAAAUAGAUUUUAUAAGUAGCAUAGUAAUUUAUUAACUAAUUAUUAAAGUGUUCCAUAGAAAUUUUUUAAAUUAAAGCAAAUAAAAUAGAGUAUGAAUUAAAAUAAAAAUUUUAAUAAAAAUUAAAUAAUUAAAAUAGGGCAAGUCCUACUCUCCUUUACAAAGAGAACAUUUAUCUAUUGUAAUAUGUAAUUGUAUGUUUGAUUGGGGCAAUACUAUAUUUAUUUAUAUAGCAAAAGAACUAUAAUUAUUGAAAUAAUAAAAGGUUCGAGCAGGUUAACAAGCAUUAAAACUAAAUGUGUUUCAUCGUCUACUUAUUAUUAUUAAAUUGAUUGUUCAUCAAAAUUGUAAUUCGUUAGUUGGGUUAAAAUCGUUGUGAAGCAGAUUUGUUUAUAUAUUUAAUUAAUAUAUAUAUAUAAAACCAAUAUUAGUACGCAAGGAUCAAUUGU